UAAUGGGUCAGCGACUUAUAUUCUGUAGCAAGGUUAACCGUAUAGGGGAGCCGAAGGGAAACCGAGUCUUAACUGGGCGUUAAGUUGCAGGGUAUAGACCCGAAACCCGGUGAUCUAGCCAUGGGCAGGUUGAAGGUUGGGUAACACUAACUGGAGGACCGAACCGACUAAUGUUGAAAAAUUAGCGGAUGACUUGUGGCUGGGGGUGAAAGGCCAAUCAAACCGGGAGAUAGCUGGUUCUCCCCGAAAGCUAUUUAGGUAGCGCCUCGUGAACUCAUCUUCGGGGGUAGAGCACUGUUUCGGCUAGGGGGUCAUCCCGACUUACCAACCCGAUGCAAACUGCGAAUACCGAAGAAUGUUAUCACGGGAGACACACGGCGGGUGCUAACGUCCGUCGUGAAGAGGGAAACAACCCAGACCGCCAGCUAAGGUCCCAAAGUCAUGGUUAAGUGGGAAACGAUGUGGGAAGGCACAGACAGCCAGGAUGUUGGCUUAGAAGCAGCCAUCAUUUAAAGAAAGCGUAAUAGCUCACUGGUCGAGUCGGCCUGCGCGGAAGAUGUAACGGGGCUAAACCAUGCACCGAAGCUGCGGCAGCGACACUAUGUGUUGUUGGGUAGGGGAGCG
rnacentral:rRNA from 1 species